UGGGGAAUCUUGCACAAUGGGGGCAACCCUGAUGCAGCGACGCCGCGUGAGCGAUGAAGCCCUUCGGGGCGUAAAGCUCUUUCGACCGGAACGAUAAUGACGGUACCGGGAGAAGAAGCUGCGGCUAACUACGUGCCAGCAGCCGCGGUAAUACGUAGGCAGCAAGCGUUGUUCGGAGUUACUGGGCGUAAAGAGUGCGUAGGCGGUUUUCUAAGUUCGGUGUGAAAUCUCCCGGCUUAACUGGGAGGGUGCGCCGAAGACUGGGAAGCUGGAGUGUGGGAAAGGCAGGCGGAAUUCCUGGUGUAGCGGUGAAAUGCGUAGAUAUCAGGAGGAACACCGGCGGUGUAGACGGCUUGCUAGACCAUAACCGACGCUGAGGCACGAAAGCGUGGGUAGCAAACA
rnacentral:rRNA from 1 species